rnacentral:lncRNA from 1 species
GAAAACACAUAUUCAAGUGAGUUACAGUGGUGAAUUGUUUCCUUACCAACAAUGAAGUUUUGGAAAUAAAGAGAAUUGAGAAGGGGACCACAAGUUGAAUAUGGACAAAAUUCAAAACAUCUUCCGUACAGACACUUCCCACUACUCUGAGGAAAGACAACAACACAGCAGAGAGAGGAGGAGUCAUAUAUAAAAAGCAAUCACUAUUCACAAAAAACCCUAAGUUUGGAUAGCCGCCACUGUUCACCCACAAGGAAGGGAGAAUUCUGAAAAACACAAAGCGUUGUUACUGUUCACUAAGAGAAAGAGGAGUCGACGGCAAGGAGAAAAGAAAGCCAUAGUUUUUCUUGGUGGUGAAGAGCGGACAAGAAGGGGAAAACGUUCAGGCGAAACGCU